rnacentral:rRNA from 1 species
UACGGAGGAUGCAAGCGUUGUUCGGAAUUACUGGGCGUAAAGGGCGCGUAGGCGGCCCACUAAGUCGAACGUGAAAUCCCCGGGCUCAACCCGGGAACUGCGUCCGAUACUGGUGGGCUUGAAUCCGGGAGAGGGAUGCGGAAUUCCAGGUGUAGCGGUGAAAUGCGUAGAUAUCUGGAGGAACACCGGUGGCGAAGGCGGCAUCCUGGACCGGCAUUGACGCUGAGGCGCGAAAGCCAGGGGAGCAAACGGG